AGCGAACGCUGGCGGCAGGCCUAACACAUGCAAGUCGAACGAACCUUUCGGGGUUAGUGGCGGACGGGUGAGUAACACGUGGGAACGUGCCUUUAGGUUCGGAAUAACUCAGGGAAACUUGUGCUAAUACCGAAUGUGCCCUUCGGGGGAAAGAUUAAUCGCCUUUAGAGCGGCCCGCGUCUGAUUAGCUAGUUGGUUGAGGUAAUGGCUCACCAAGGCGACGAUCAGUAGCUGGUCUGAGAGGAUGAUCAGCCACAUUGGGACUGAGACACGGCCCAAACUCCUACGGGAGGCAGCAGUGGGGAAUCUUGCGCAAUGGGCGAAAGCCUGACGCAUCCAUGCCGCGUGAAUGAUGAAGGUCUUAGGAUUGUAAAAUUCUUUCAACGGGGACGAUAAUGACGGUACCCGGAGAAGAAGCCCCGGCUAACUUCGUG
rnacentral:rRNA from 1 species